AUGCAGGUGGCUGCUCCAGGGCCCAUCCAGGCGAUCGCCAGGCCUUUAGCGUCAUCCAAGAGCCUCGUUCUCAACGAGGCCCCUCGCGGGGCCCAGGGUCCGGGCCCGUGCGCAUCUUUGGGGUGCCGUCGUCCCAGCCACGGCACUACCAAGGCAACGGCCGCCCGCGUCCCUGCUUCUUCCUACCGUCUCAGACGGCCACGGGAAGCCAGCCACGCCCGCGGCGACUUCACCCGCCUCCCAGCCGCCCAUCUCCAGGUCCCGCUCUGGGCAUCAGGCCGCAGCCGAGAAGAGGCCGAGCACGGCGCCCGCCUUCGCCGAGCUCACACGUGUGUUCUGCCAGAGAACGAGAAAAAUGAAGGAAAGAGAAAGGGCUGGAAGAGGCGCGUGGGGCCGUGUGUUAAACCGGACGGGCAGCCGGGGACGGCCUCAUGGAGCAGUCGACUCGUGGGCCAGCGGCGUGGGCUGUGCGGUGACCUCAGGAAGAAGGUUGGGGGGGGGCAGCGACAGCAGGUGCAAAGGCCCUGGGGUGUGUGGGUGGAGCAGCAGGCAGGCCUGCGGCCGGAGCAGCCCAAGGGGGAGAGGAGGCGGGAUCCGGGCACGGUGGGGGCCAGGGGGCAUCACCGGGGCUUGGGGGUUCUGGUUGUGCCUUUGGUUUGUACUCCACACCGGGGUCUUGCCUCCCUCACUGCGGCCGGGCUUUCCCCCUCCCUUCUAGCACUUUCCACCGGCAGCCUCGGGAGCAGGCUGCAGCCCCUGCAGAGGCACGGUUCCAGAAGCAGUCGUGGGCGCGGCGGCAGCAGGAAGCGAGAAGACAGAUCAAACGUGCCCCAGGCGCCAGUGGCCGAUCAAGCACGACGAGCGUCACCCCCCAAGGCCCCGAGGCGGGGUACACAUGGGUGCUGGAACCCCUGGAGCACCCAGGAGGCACGGAGGAGGCAAAAGAGCCCCGAGACGUUUCUGCUCACGGCGCCCUACGGCCGAAGUGCCUCCAAAACCCCACCUGCCAACAAAACCCAAACUUCCUUCUGCAGGAACGACUGCAGGAGGCGCCCUCCGCCCUCGGGGCCCGCGUUCGUGGGUGACUAUUGCCACGUGGCCUCGAAACAGCUGCGGGAGAGCGUGGAGGCCGCCCCCCCCAGCUGCACGCCCCCGCGGGGACAGCUGGCAGCCCCGGCCUCCCCCUCGCAGGCCCCUCGCGCUCUCCUCCUCUUCGCACCCCCCCAAGCCUCUGCUUCUCCGUUCUGGUCCCACCUCGCGGCUUGCCUGGCGGUGCUGACCACGAGGGCGGCCAGGUGGCCUUUCUGAACAGGGACCUCCGAAAUGUCACCUGUUCUGCAAAACUCAACGACGGUGACAAGGGUCGGGGUGUUGGCUUCGGUGGGAGUGGGGGGACACUGACCAGGGACCCAGAGCAGCUCUGGGGCUGGCGGCACGUUUCUCAGCCCGGGUGCUGGCGGCGUGGCGACCCGGCUGUAAAAACGCCAGCGCCAUCUACCUCUGCACACUUGUUUGCACCAACGCAUACCCUUCGUGACAAUUUAAAAUUAAGCCAACAGAAGAAAAGUGCUCCCUGUCCGGCGGGGGGUAAACCUGCAGCCCUGAAGGGGCCCCCCAGGGCCGCCCAGCGCCCUCCUCGGACCCCGGGUUUGGCUUCACGGCGCAUUCUCCAAGUCACCACAACCCCCAGCUCGGUUUCCAGCCCGGGCCCCACGUAAGCAGGACGCGGAGGCCAGAGAGCCAAGCGGGGGUUUCUUAGCAGGCCGAGGAAGACAAAGGCCACCUCUCCCGACGCGGAUUCAGGUGACGCGCGGCCAGGAGGCCCACAGGCUGGCAAAUGAAAGCGCGUCUGGGGCUGCGAGUCAAGCACGCGGGCUGACGGGUCUUUCCAGCAGGACACCCGGCAAGCCCACAGAACCUGUGCCCGGGACACGUGCUGGCCACACCGCGGCCACACACACGUGCCGGGGGCAGGGAGGGGGGCGAGAGGCCGGCACGGGGUGGGGGACAGGAGGGGGGCGAGAGGCCGGCACGGGGGUGGGGGCAGGAGGG
rnacentral:lncRNA from 1 species